ensembl:miRNA
UUUUGGAUCACUGUUAUUAAGUGGAGUCAUUUAAAACAACUGAUCCUUCAGA